AGUCGACCCCUAAGGCGAGGCCGAAAGGCGUAGUCGAUGGGAAACAGGUUAAUAUUCCUGUACUUGGUGUUACUGCGAAGGGGGGACGGAGAAGGCUAUGUUGGCCGGGCGACGGUUGUCCCGGUUUAAGCGUGUAGGCUGGUUUUCCAGGCAAAUCCGGAAAAUCAAGGCUGAGGCGUGAUGACGAGGCACUACGGUGCUGAAGCAACAAAUGCCCUGCUUCCAGGAAAAGCCUCUAAGCAUCAGGUAACAUCAAAUCGUACCCCAAACCGACACAGGUGGUCAGGUAGAGAAUACCAAGGCGCUUGAGAGAACUCGGGUGAAGGAACUAGGCAAAAUGGUGCCGUAACUUCGGGAGAAGGCACGCUGAUAUGUAGGUGAAGUCCCUCGCGGAUGGAGCUGAAAUCAGUCGAAGAUACCAGCUGGCUGCAACUGUUUAUUAAAAACACAGCACUGUGCAAACACGAAAGUGGACGUAUACGGUGUGACGCCUGCCCGGUGCCGGAAGGUUAAUUGAUGGGGUCAGCGCAAGCGAAGCUCUUGAUCGAAGCCCCGGUAAACGGCGGCCGUAACUAUAACGGUCCUAAGGUAGCGAAAUUCCUUGUCGGGUAAGUUCCGACCUGCACGAAUGGCGUAAUGAUGGCCAGGCUGUCUCCACCCGAGACUCAGUGAAAUUGAACUCGCUGUGAAGAUGCAGUGUACCCGCGGCAAGACGGAAAGACCCCGUGAACCUUUACUAUAGCUUGACACUGAACAUUGAGCCUUGAUGUGUAGGAUAGGUGGGAGGCUUUGAAGUGUGGACGCCAGUCUGCAUGGAGCCGACCUUGAAAUACCACCCUUUAAUGUUUGAUGUUCUAACGUUGACCCGUGAUCCGGGUUGCGGACAGUGUCUGGUGGGUAGUUUGACUGGGGCGGUCUCCUCCUAAAGAGUAACGGAGGAGCACGAAGGUUGGCUAAUCCUGGUCGGACAUCAGGAGGUUAGUGCAAUGGCAUAAGCCAGCUUGACUGCGAGCGUGACGGCGCGAGCAGGUGCGAAAGCAGGUCAUAGUGAUCCGGUGGUUCUGAAUGGAAGGGCCAUCGCUCAACGGAUAAAAGGUACUCCGGGGAUAACAGGCUGAUACCGCCCAAGAGUUCAUAUCGACGGCGGUGUUUGGCACCUCGAUGUCGGCUCAUCACAUCCUGGGGCUGAAGUAGGUCCCAAGGGUAUGGCUGUUCGCCAUUUAAAGUGGUACGCGAGCUGGGUUUAGAACGUCGUGAGACAGUUCGGUCCCUAUCUGCCGUGGGCGCUGGAGAACUGAGGGGGGCUGCUCCUAGUACGAGAGGACCGGAGUGGACGCAUCACUGGUGUUCGGGUUGUCAUGCCAAUGGCACUGCCCGGUAGCUAAAUGCGGAAGAGAUAAGUGCUGAAAGCAUCUAAGCACGAAACUUGCCCCGAGAUGAGUUCUCCCUGACUCCUUGAGAGUCCUGAAGGAACGUUGAAGACGACGACGUUGAUAGGCCGGGUGUGUAAGCGCAGCGAUGCGUUGAGCUAACCGGUACUAAUGAACCGUGAGG
rnacentral:rRNA from 1 species